GAUGAACGCUGGCGGCGUGCCUAAUACAUGCAAGUCGAGCGAACGAGCCUUCGGGUGAGUUAGCGGCGAACGGGUGAGUAACACGUAGGUAAUCUGCCCUUAAGACGAGGAUAACUGCUGGAAACGGUAGCUAAUACUGGAUAGUACAUUAUAUCGCAUGAUUAAAUGUUUAAAGAUCCCUUAAAGGAUCACUUAAGGAGGAACCUGCGGCGCAUUAGCUAGUUGGUGAGGUAACGGCUCACCAAGGCGAUGAUGCGUAGCCGGACUGAGAGGUUGAACGGCCACAUUGGGACUGAGACACGGCCCAAACUCCUACGGGAGGCAGCAGCAGGGAAUUUUCGGCAAUGGGGGAAACCCUGACCGAGCAACGCCGCGUGAAUGAAGAAGUAUUUCGGUAUGUAAAAUUCUUUUAUCAGGGAAGAAUGUCUUAAGUAGGAAAUGACUUAGGAGUGACGGUACCUGAUGAAUAAGCCCCGGCUAACUACGUGCCAGCAGCCGCGGUAAUACGUAGGGGGCAAGCGUUAUCCGGAAUUAUUGGGCGUAAAGGGUGCGUAGGCGGCAUAUUAAGUCUGAGGUGAAAGUGCGGGGCUCAACCCCGUGAUGCCUUGGAAACUGAUAAGCUUGAGUAUGGUAGAGGUAAGUGGAAUUUCAUGUGUAGCGGUAAAAUGCGUAAAUAUAUGAAGGAACACCAGUGGCGAGGCGGCUUACUGGACCAUUACUGACGCUGAGGCACGAAAGCGUGGGGAGCAAACAGGAUUAGAUACCCUGGUAGUCCACGCCGUAAACGAUGAGUACUAAGUGUUGGUGAGAAUCAGUGCUGAAGUUAACGCAUUAAGUACUCCGCCUGAGUAGUACGUACGCAAGUAUGAAACUCAAAGGAAUUGACGGGAGCCCGCACAAGCGGUGGAGCAUGUUGUUUAAUUCGAGGAUACGCGAAGAACCUUGCCAGGUCUUGACAUACUGUGCAAAGCUAUAGAGAUAUAGUGGAGGUUAACACAGAUACAGGUGGUGCAUGGUUGUCGUCAGCUCGUGUCGUGAGAUGUUGGGUUAAGUCCCGCAACGAGCGCAACCCUUAUUGCUAGUUACCAUCAUUAAGUUGGGGACUCUAGUGAGACUGCCAGUGAUAAAUUGGAGGAAGGUGGGGAUGACGUCAAAUCAUCAUGCCCUUUAUGACCUGGGCUACAAACGUGCUACAAUGGCUAUUACAAAGGGAUGCUAAACCGCGAGGUGGAGCUAACCCCAUAAAGGUAGUCUCAGUUCGGAUCGGAGUCUGCAACUCGACUCCGUGAAGUUGGAAUCGCUAGUAAUCGCGGAUCAGAAUGCCGCGGUGAAUACGUUCUCGGGCUUUGUACACACCGCCCGUCAAACCACGAGAGUUUGUAAUACCCGAAACCGGUGGCCUAACCGCAAGGAGGGAGCCGUCUAAGGUAGGACAGAUGAUUGGGGU
rnacentral:rRNA from 1 species